CAACUCAAGUGCUUUCAACAUCAUUAACUGAGCAAAGUUCACAGAAAACCAAUCAUGAAGAACCUGUUCUUUUCCAUGCUCCUUCUUCUCUCAUUCCUCUUCUUCCUUGCCAACCAUGGGGAGGCAGCUGUUCCAUGUAAUACUGUGGAUGCCAAGGCAGCUCAAUGCGUUGGCUUUGCAACUGGCAAGGCUACAAAGCCCUCCGCUGAAUGCUGCACCGGGCUGCAGCAGCUUGCUCAAACUGUAAAAUCCGUCGAUGAUAAGAAGGCCAUCUGCAGAUACUUGAAGGCUGCCGCCAAGUCACUGGGAGUUCAGGACAAGUUCUUGAGCAAUAUUCCUUAAGCUUGCAACAUCAACGUUGGUUUCCCUGUCUCCAUCAACACCAAUUGCGAGACGAUUCACUAAGUUCCGAUGGAUCAGUCGGGAGAAUGAUCGUUGAAGAACACCCUUAGGCAGUUGGUAGCUAGCUAGAAUUUGACUAUCGGCUCAAAUAAAAUGGUUAAAAUUGUUAAGACAAAGUUACUGUUGGUCUUUACAGACCCAGACUUUGACUUAAAACCGUGUAUUCACAAGUUGGUUACUUGGUUUUAGUGGAAUCAGAAUCAGUUCACUUCUUGCA
rnacentral:sRNA from 1 species